UCAAGGCUACACAGAGAAAACCUCUCUCGAAACAACAACUAGAGAGAGAGAGAGAGAGAGAGAGAAUAAACUUGAUCAAGAAAUCAAGAAUAUGAGCAGUGUCUGAAGUCAUCAAAACACCGUUGAAUGAAAUAAAUAAAACAAUGUCUAUUAACAGAAUGGAAUUUUAAAGAGAGAUAAAACCUCCAAAGAAAAGCCAAUGUUAAAAGAAAAAUCAGGAAAAAAACAGAAAGAAAAACCUCUCAGAGGAAUGCGCACAGGUUGAAGACAAGGUAGAGAAGCUGCAAAGCCUGACCAAAGCUGGAAAACAGAGUCCAGGGGGUCUUUUCCUGUUGCUCCUCACAUUAAACUCACUGACAAAGCAACUUAAGGGCUUUGACUCCCGGUUCAGAGUUCAGUCAGCUCGGCAGGUUCCUCACUCUCAGCAGAGCUUAAAGUGUCACCUCCCACUGCACCCAGUCAGUAAACAGAGAAAGGAGUCUGGGUGAGCUUGCUGGAGGGCAGCUUGAGCUCUCCAUUCUCCAAAGUCCAGGAUCCCCGUCAUAGGAAUAGGCACUACCCCCAGUGGGUGGAUCUCCCUCCUGUGGUUGAUGUAGCGGAUCUCCCACAGGUAUGCUCAGAGGCUCUUCUCCUAGACUAUGCUAGCAUUUAUCAACGUGUCAACUAAUACCAACCAUGACAAAGCCAUUCACAAAAAAGAGUAUCUCAUUUUUCGAAGGCAGUUCUGAGUCAUCUUUGCCUCUUAGGUUUUAUUUUAUGUAGAAUGUGCUCUAUUUGAAAAUGAACUCUUUUUAAAAAUUGUUGCAAGAUUUAUUAAUGUGGCACUCAAUUUCUGGUAGUACACAUCUAUGCUACAAAAAGAAAAUUCACAUUUCUCUUAAUUUUUACUAAAUUUCAAGUGUCCUGAUUGUAUCACUUAUUUUUUAAGAAUUUAUUAGUUUUAAAAUUGUAUGUAUACAUGGGGGAGUGAUUUGUGCACAUAAGUACAUAUACACAGAGCCUAGACAAUGUUGGAUCUCCUGGGCAUUGAAAUUGCAGGUGUCUGGACUGCUGGAUGUGGGUGCUGGGAACAAAAGGGGAGUUAGCACGUAAAGUGCAGAGACUGAAAACUGGUGCGGAGAGGACCACCGCAUGGAUGCAAUCUCCCUUCAUACCACUUCUCAUUAAAACUGCGUCUUGAAGAGAAAGGAAGCAGAAGAGUAAAUGGACUGCAUUGCUCUUCCAGUCUCUACCAACCCAACCAGAACUGAGGGGAGGAGGAAGAGAAAGAAAAGAAAAAAUGGCUGGAUGGCCCUUACGGCAUCCGGAAGCCCUAGUGCUGUCACUAGCACCUUGCUGGCUGAAGAAAGCAAAGCCAACCCCAUCAUGCUUCCCACAGCGAGCCUUGGCGAUGUGGUGAUUUCUAGUGUUCCCCGUGAUCUCCAGUUUUGUGUUGUGCUACAUUCCUGAGCAAACAAAUCUUCUUUUCAAGACUUUGGCAUAUGGAUAUUGCCUAGGAAAGAUGAUUUCUCUGUCAAGCCCCAAGGACAAUUAUGGAAAUAUCUAUGUCAUAGUACUCUCACUAUGAGUAAAAUAAAGAUAAAAUAGCCAACAUUAGAUGCAAAA
rnacentral:sRNA from 1 species